rnacentral:rRNA from 1 species
CUUGGUCAUUUAGAGGAAGUAAAAGUCGUAACAAGGUUUCCGUAGGUGAACCUGCGGAAGGAUCAUUACAGUGUUCCCUGCCCUUCGGGGUAGGAUCGCCACCCUUGAUUAUUUUAUGAGUGUUGCUUUGGCGGGCCUCGCGGCCUGGCCGCGCCCCGGCUUCGGCGGGGGAGCGCCCGCCAGAGGAUUCUACGAACCUGAUUAUUAGUGUCGUCUGAGUACUAUAUAAUAGUUAAAACUUUCAACAACGGAUCUCUUGGUUCUGGCAUCGAUGAAGAACGCAGCGAAAUGCGAUAAGUAAUGUGAAUUGCAGAAUUCAGUGAAUCAUCGAAUCUUUGAACGCACAUUGCGCCCCGUGGUAUUCCGCGGGGCAUGCCUGUUCGAGCGUCAUUAUGACCAAUCCCGUUCUGCGGGGUCUUGGGCACCGCCUCCGGGCGGGCCUCAAAACCAGUGGCGGUCCGGCCGGGCUCUGAGCGUAGUAAAUCUUCUCGCUAUAGGGUCUCGGGCGGCACUGGCCAGCAACCCCCAAUCUUUCACAGGUUGACCUCGGAUCAGGUAGGGAUACCCGCUGAACUUAAGCAUAUCAAUAAGCGGAGGA